UUGGCCAUUCUGCGACUGCGCAAAGAUGGUGGAAGAGGACAGUAUCCGCGUGGUUCGUUGUGGCGGCAGCGAGUUGAACUUUAGGAGAGCUGUGUUCUCUGCAGAUUCUAAGUAUAUCUUCUGUGUCUCUGGAGACUUUGUUAAAGUUUACAGCACAGUUACAGAAGAGUGUGUACACAUACUGCAUGGACACAGAAAUCUGGUGACUGGAAUCCAACUUAACCCCAACAACCAUCUACAGCUGUAUUCUUGUUCCCUUGAUGGCACAAUUAAACUGUGGGACUAUAUAGAUGGCAUCUUAAUAAAGACUUUCAUAGUUGGAUGUAAACUUCAUGCCCUCUUUACUCUUGCCCAAGCUGAGGAUUCUGUCUUUGUUAUAGUAAAUAAAGAAAAACCAGGUACGGUAUAAUUAACUUAUUAUAUAUGGCAUUGAGUGGCUCUUUACAUUUUACAGUUCCUCAAAAUUUAACAUUUUGGUUUUAAUCUGAAGCCAACAGUUUUUAGAAUCGGCAUUUAAAUUGCUUUUGUCAUUAUUGUGUUCAUUUGGAGAUG
rnacentral:sRNA from 1 species